GACGAACGCUGGCGGCGUGCCUAACACAUGCAAGUCGAACGAGAUCCAUGGGAGCUUGCUCCCGGAAGAUCUAGUGGCGAACGGGUGAGUAACACGUGAGAAACCUGCCCUGGAGUGGGGAAUAACUCGGGGAAACUCGAGCUAAUACCGCAUACCCUCGGAUGGUCGCAUGGCCGACCGAGGGAAAAGAUUUAUCGCUCUAGGAGGGUCUCGCGGCCUAUCAGCUAGUGGUGGGUAACGGCCUACCAAGGCAACGACGGGUAGCUGGUUUGAGAGAACGAUCAGCCACACUGGGACUGAGACACGGCCCAGACUCCUAC
rnacentral:rRNA from 1 species